GGUGAUCUGAGCGGGCCUGAUCUAUCAGCUGAAAGCCUGAAGAGCGCAGCAGAGCUCCCCUGAAGUAGAAGAAAUUUCUCCGAUGGACAGCAGCUGCACUCAGUUUCUGGAGAGUUCCACAUUGGCCUGCUAUGUGGAUUUCAGACUGGCCUAGCCAGCCCCCACAAUCAUGAUUCAGGAGCAGUUCCAGAAAAAUCCCGACAGUUACAAUGGUGCUGUCCGAGAGAACUACACCUGGUCACAGGACUAUACUGACCUGGAGGUCAGGGUGCCAGUACCCAAGCACGUGGUGAAGGGAAAGCAGGUUUCUUUUAUGCCUCCUCAGGGAACAGGUGUCAGGCUGUGGGCCUUUGCUCCCCUCAGCAACAAACACAAAAUUUAUUUUUCUUCAGCUACAAACACCCGGUCACCCCCCUUUAAACUACAUCAGGUCAUAGGUGAGACCCAUUGAAGCCCCAUCGAGUCCUGAGAGGCAAAGCAAAGAACCCAGGUCACAGUGAUGAAGUGGACGGCCAGGCCUGUGUGCUGUGGGGCUCUUCCAUGGAGCAGGGAGCCAUGUCCUAUAAGUACCGCAUGCUAACCGAUUGCGCCACUGGAGCCACACCAUGUCAUGAUGUACCUGUAACAUUUGCAACUUGAGUUUCAAACACUAAAGUUUCUGAAACCUCCAUCUAACGAGUUUAAAAAUGGAGUCUCCCUAUGUUGUUCAGGCUAGUCUUAAACUCCUAGGCUCAAGUAAUCCCCCUGCCUCAGACUCCCAAAGUGCUGGAAUUACAGGUCUCAGUGGCCCUUAGCAGCAGCUCCAUUCGUGUGGCCAUGCUGGAGGAAAAUGGGGAGCGCGUCCUCAUGGAAGGGAAGCUCACCCACAAGAUCAACACCGAGAGUUCUCUCUGGAGUCUCGAGCCCGGGAAGUGCGUUUUGGUGAACCUGAGCAAGGUGGGCGAGUAUUGGUGGAACGCCAUCCUGGAGGGAGAAGAGCCCAUCGACAUUGACAAGAUCAACAAGGAGCGCUCCAUGGCCACCGUGGAUGAGGAGGAACAGGCGGUGUUGGACAGGCUUACCUUUGACUACCACCAGAAGCUGCAGGGCAAGCCACAGAGCCAUGAGCUGAAAGUCCAUGAGAUGCUGAAGAAGGGGUGGGAUGCUGAAGGUUCUCCCUUCCGAGGCCAGCGAUUCGACCCUGCCAUGUUCAACAUCUCCCCGGGGGCUGUGCAGUUUUAAUGACCAGAAGGAAAGGAAACCCUCGCCGGUGGGGAGGCAGAGCCUUAUCCUCGGCUGCCCUUCUUGGCUCCCUGCAUUCCAGGGACUUGCUCGUCUUGUUUACCCCUAGCCAUCCUUUCUUUCAAGGGUGAACCAGGCCUUCCACCUUGACCUUGCAUCUCCAGACUGUUCCAGAGAAGGUGCGGGGCCAGCUGCUAUGUGGUGGCCGCUGUGGCUGACACUGAGUGAAGGUGUUUGAAAUGCAGGAGAGGAUAUCCCAGCAAAUUGGGAUCACAUGCUUUUGUCUCCACAGCAACCAGCCACUGCAGGCAGCAUGUCUUUCCUCCCCUGCUCUCUGCUUGCUGUUGUUUUGACGCUAUUCUGCUUGCAUGUCUUCUGGUUGGGAUGUGGAGUUGUUGCUGGACUCUCAGGCGAAGCUGAAGUCAUUGAAGUGUGUGAAGCUCUGUGCUUGCAUGAGGGCGGGCAAGGAAUGGCUGUGCCUGGGGCUGCUCUGGGAAACUCCUUGCCCCUUGACCUCUUUUGAGAGCAUUCACGUGGUCUUCUUGCUCAUCCCCUUAUAAAUGUGCUUUGCCUGCCUCAGCCUCAUGGUCAGAGCAGUGGAGACUGGAGCCCUGUUUGCACGUUCUAGUUGUUCAGAGAAAGCCUAGGUUCUGGGCUCAGGUCCAGAUGCAGCGGGGAUUCUGUUCUCUGACUGUGGCGACCUUGCUUUGGUUCUUGUUGAAGUGAACCAAGCCCGGCCACCACGCAUGGCAUGCUGUGCUUGGCUCCCCAUAAGACGUCCUCUUUGGGUGCACGAUGUCAAAGUGUGGGCAGGAGUGGAGAGCUGGUGCCCUCAGGAGGAGACCACAGCAUGUCCAUCAGCUCAGCAGAGCUCGACAGCCACAAGUCCUGAGAAGCUUUGACCUUGAAGGGCUUCUGGGAGAGGAGGAAUUUCUGCAUGGGGCGUGAAGGCACACUGUCCCACCACAACUGAACCAGAAGAGAGUGAAGACUCCCCUCUUCCCAUCCUCUGUGCCAGGUGCCAGACUGCUCCUUGGAACUUAUGGCCCAAUCUUACCUGUUCUCCAGGGACUGGUCACUGCCUCAGGACCCCCAAGCCUAUGCCCUGAGCCAUGGCUGCUGACUGACUCCAGCCAAGGUGCAAAGACGAGAUUAUGAGACAGGUCCUCAGGCCUGUGUUCCAAGUACUCACAGAGGCUCUGGGUGCCCAUCGCCGGGAGUAUGGUUCAGCUGCCACCGGCACUGUCCAUUUGCCUGUCUGUCAAGCUCAGAGCAUGGAUAAGCCACACAGCAGGGCAGUGCACCCUGGCACCAUGCACGGCCAGCAAGAAUCAAGGCCCGCAGAUGCUAAGAGAGCCUAUUGUCAGGGGAAGGUCCCCGCUCCUGCACACUCUCUGUGGAUACUUGGGUUGUGGGGGCUCUCUUGGAGAGUAAGUUUGUGGUUUGUUUCUGGUUUACAGUGGUGGCUGACACCCCUUGUAAGAAAGCAUUCCUGGGAAGUCUUCUGUGGGUCCAAACAUGUUGCUCCGAUCAUCACAGGAGAGCAAAAGGCCCUAGAUACCCCCUUUGGAAUGUGAGAGUCUUGUUGUCUGAUAUUUGCCACUGAGCUGGUGAAGCCCCUCUAAAGAGAUCUCGACCCUGGGGAGCAGAAUUCUUGUCAUCUAUGAGGGGUCCUGAGAAAGACUUUGUCAUUUUUUUUCCUGGAGUUCUUCCCAUUGAGGUCCUAGGAUUUGCACACCACUGUCCCACAAGAGCUUUCCUGCCUAAUGAAAGGAGGUCUUGUGGUGUGUGUCUCCUCUCUUCUCUAUAGUUCCCGAGUUGGCCCCCAUUGCAGCCCCCACCCUGUGGGUAGUCUUCCAGAAGUGAUGCAGUGGUGUGAGAUGCCCUACACCUUGUUAUUUGGGAGACUUUGAGAGUCAUUCACUUCCAUGGUGACUAGUGUUUGUUUUGCCUGAUUUUAUAUUCUGUGUUGCAUUUCUCCCCACUCCCUGCCCUGCUUUAAUAAACGGCAAACCAAUAUCUAGGAAGAAUGACUGAGGGAUAGUAUUGGGUAUUGGCCCCAUGGCAGGAACAGCCACUUGCAUCUGGUCCCGGUGCCACACUGCGGUGCUUGGUGUGGUUGUGGAGCCUGUCCCUGCGUGCCUUGCUCCCGUUGAGCCACGCUGUCUGUUGGGUGAUUCUCUGCCCUGAGCCACCAUCCUGGACUGGCCCAGUCUCCAGAGCUGGCACACCCUGCCUGUUUUCUCUUUUUAGACACAACAGCCGCAGUUUGGCCAGCCACUAAGUCCCACCAGCUGAGGUCCGAGGAAAGCAGGGUGACUCAUUUCCCUUGUCCAGGGCCCGAGGAGAGUGAGGUGUCCAGCCUGCAAAGCUAUUCCAGCUCCUUGGUGUUGGUUUGCAAUAAAUUGGUAUUUAAGCA
rnacentral:sRNA from 1 species